rnacentral:rRNA from 1 species
UAGGAAAUCUUCCGCAAUGGGCGAAAGCCUGACGGAGCAACGCCGCGUGAGUGAUGAAGGUCUUCGGAUCGUAAAACUCUGUUAUUAGGGAAGAACAAAUGUGUAAGUAACUAUGCACGUCUUGACGGUACCUAAUCAGAAAGCCACGGCUAACUACGUGCCAGCAGCCGCGGUAAUACGUAGGUGGCAAGCGUUAUCCGGAAUUAUUGGGCGUAAAGCGCGCGUAGGCGGUUUUUUAAGUCUGAUGUGAAAGCCCACGGCUCAACCGUUGAGGGUCAUUGGAAGCUGGAAAACUUGAGUGCAGAAGAGGAAAGUGGAAUUCCAUGUGUAGCAGUGAUAUGCGCAGAGAUAAGGAGGAACACCAGUGACGAAGGCGACUUUCUGGUCUGUAACUGACGCUGAUGUGCGAAAGCGUGGGGAUCAAACAGG